AAAUUGAAGAGUUUGAUCAUGGCUCAGAUUGAACGCUGGCGGCAGGCCUAACACAUGCAAGUCGAACGGUAACAGGAAACAGCUUGCUGCUUCGCUGACGAGUGGCGGACGGGUGAGUAAUGUCUGGGAAACUGCCUGAUGGAGGGGGAUAACUACUGGAAACGGUAGCUAAUACCGCAUAACGUCGCAAGACCAAAGAGGGGGACCUUCGGGCCUCU
rnacentral:rRNA from 1 species